rnacentral:misc_RNA from 1 species
UGACCCAUGAGGGGAUGCAUGCCCAUCUGUCCCUGCUGCAUCCCCUCAUGGGUCAGAUGGGCCCUUCGGCACAGGCCGUGCAUGGCCUCCCAUCCGGUGUGCCGCCCGGUUACGGGAUGAUGCCGCAGCAAGGGAUGAUGUUGCCGCCAGCAGCUGCUGCCAACCCGUAUCAGCAGCAGUAUAUGGCUGCUCUGAUGCAGCAGAGGGCGAUGAUGA